CCCCAGCAGAGGUCUGAACCCUCCCAGACAAACCUGAACCCCAGAAAUGAUCUGAGACCCCCUGACCGACCUGAACCCCCCCAGGAUAUGUCUGAGCCCCCCCAGACCCAUCUGAGCCCCCCAAGAGUGGUCGGAGCCCCCCCAGAUCAAACUGAGCCCCCCCAGACCAAUCUCCCCCCCCCCCCCCCCCCAGUAGUGGUCUCAGCCCCACAGUCCAACCUGAGCCCCCCAGGAGCGAUCUGAGCCCCCCCCCCCACCGCUGUCUAUAGACAUAGAGGGACCUGGAGUGGGGUGCAGGUGCCUAUGGGGCCCUAUUGCUCCUAUAGUGUAUAUGGCCCUGUUGGCGUAGCACAUAUGGGGCACGGAUAGGCCUAUAGGUACGUGUGCAGAGCUGAGCAUAUGGGGUUUUUAUUUACAUACAGCCCUAUAUGUCGUCUUAUUUCCAGUGCUGUGGGCAGAGCUGGGGGUGGGGUUUGCAUAUGGGCCAUAUGUGGUCCCUAUAGGGUCCAUAGGCUUCUCAGUGUGGGUAUAUGGGUGCCUAUAGGAUCCAUAUGUGGUCCCUAUAGGGUCCGUAGGCUUCUCAGUGUGGGUAUAUGGGUGCCUAUGGGGUCCAUAUGUGAUCCCUAUAGGGUCCGUAGGCUUCUCAGUGUGGGUAUAUGGGUGCCUAUAGGGUCCAUAUGUGGUCCCUAUAGGGUCCGUAGGCUUCUCAGUGUAGGUAUAUGGGUGCCUAUGGGGUCCAUAUGUGGUUCCUAUGGGGUCCGUAGGCUUCUCAGUGUGGGUAUAUGGGUGCCUAUAGGAUCCAUAUGUGGUCCCUAUGGGGUCCGUAGGCUUCUCAGUGUGGGUAUAUGGGUGCCUAUAGGGUCCAUAUGUGGUCCCUAUGGGGUCCGUAGGCUUCUCAGUGUGGGUAUAUGGGUGCCUAUAGGGUCCAUAUGUGGUCCCUAUGGGGUCCGUAGGCUUCUCAGUGUGGGUAUAUGGGUGCCUAUAGGGUCCAUAUGUGGCCCCUAUGGGGUCCGUAGGCUUCUCAGUGUGGGUAUAUGGGUGCCUAUAGGGUCCAUAUGUGGUCCCUAUGGGGUCCGUAGGCUUCUCAGUGUGGGUAUAUGGGUGCCUAUAGGGUCCAUUUGUGGCCCCCAUAGGGUGCAUACCCAUACAGUGCUGUAGGUCUAGGGGGGGCUCUGGGGGUCCCAUUCCCCUUUUCCCCCAGGGAAGCACGGGGGGGGACGGGGGGGGAUGGACGGAUGGAUUGGGAAACCCCAUUGAGUGUUAACCCCCCCCCCCAGUAAAAAAACAACCCCAAACCCACCAAUUUCUGCCCCCAAAAUGAGCAUCCCCGGGGGGAUCCCCCCCGGCCGCAGGUCCUGGCAGGUCACAGCAGCGAUCUGAGCCCCCCCCAGGAGCGAUCUGAGCCCCCCAGCAGCGAUCUGAGCCCCCCCAGCAGCGAUCUGAGCCCCCCAGGAGCGGUCUGAGACCAAAACGAGCAUCCCCGGGGGGGUCCCCCCGGCCGCAGGUCCUGGCAGCAAUUCCCAUCCGCGGGAGGAAGGAGAGGCCGAGAGAGGGGGAAGAUUGAAUUGAAGCCCCGGGGCCAUUAACCCGCUGCCCUGGCCCAACUCCAGCUGCAGUAAUUACAUUCGCCCUGAUUAAAAAUUUCCCCUUCGUUUUCAAUUAGCUCCGCCGUCCUUCUUCGCUUCCCUCCUCCCCAACCACAGCGCUGUGCGGCUCCGCAGUGCGGCUGCUCUGCAAAGGGGAAACUGAGGCACGGGGGGCUGGGGGGGGGGGG
rnacentral:lncRNA from 1 species